CCUACGGGAGGCAGCAGUGAGGAAUAUUGGUCAAUGGCGCAAGCCUGAACCAGCCAAGUCGCGUGAGGGAAGACGGCCCUACGGGUUGUAAACCUCUUUUGCCGGGGAGCAAGCCUGAGCACGUGUGCCCAGGCGGAGAGUACCCGGAGACAAAGCAUCGGCUACCUCCGUGCCAGCCGCCGCGGUAAUACGGGGGAUGCGAGAGUUCUCCGGAUUUAUUGGGUUUAAAGGGUGCGCAGGCGGGCGGUUAAGCCGGCGGUAAAAAUUCAGGGCUCAACCCUGUGGAGCCGGCGGCACUGGCAGUCUUGAGUGGGCGGGAAGUAUGCGGAAUGCGCGGUUGAGCGGUGAAAUGCAUAGAUAUCACGGAGAACGCCGAUUGCGAAGGCAGCAUACCGGCGCCCGACUGACGCUGAGGCACGAAAGCGUGGGGAUCGAACAGGAUUAGAUACCCCUGUAGUC
rnacentral:rRNA from 1 species